rnacentral:rRNA from 1 species
AUAAAUAAGCGGUGGAAAAGAAACCAACAGGGAUUCCCUCAGUAGCGGCGAGCGAACAGGGAAGAGCCCAGCGCCGAAUUCCGCGUCUCAAAGGGCGUUUGGAACAUGUGGCGUUUAGGAGGAAUCUCUCCGAGGGCAGACGGUGUCGCAAGUCCCCCUGAACGGGGCUGUGAUCCAGAGCGGGUGCGAGGCCCAUAGCUGGUACCGUCUCCUUCGGGUGUCGCCUCCUUGGAGUCGGGUUGCUUGGGAGUGCAGCCCUAAUUGGGUGGUAAACUCCACCUAAGGCUAAAUACGUCCGUGAGACCGAUAGCAAACAAGUACCGUGAGGGAAAGUUGCAAAGAACUUUGAAGAGAGAGUUCAAGAGUACGUGAAACCGCUCAGAGGCAAACGGGUGGGCCCACGAAAGCCGAAGGCGGGGGGAUUCAGUCGAGAGGACGGUGGGGCAGGACUGGCUGGUCGGACGGACCGUGCCAGGCCGGGUCAGUUCCCGAGAUCCGCCGCCUUUCGACGCAUUUCCCUCUGCUUAGUAGGACGCCGCAACCGGUUGGCGCUGCAGCCAUAAGGGAGAGUAAUCGGAAGGUAGCCAGCGAGUUCCCCUUCGGGGGCGCGAGCUGGUCCUAAGCCCACUCUCCUGGUGCUUGUGGCCCGACCGUGGUCGUGAGUCCCUGAACGGGAUGUUGCCGAGCCCUCCGACCGGAGCGGGAGAAGUGGCAGGCUGUUCUCUGCGAAAAAAAUCGGUCGCAUCACACGUGCAGUGGGCGACCUCCAGAGGCGGCUGCUGGUGCGUUUUUCUCCUGCGCUGGGCACAGGCAGUUGGCGGCGAGUAGGUCGGUCACCCACCCGACCCGUCUUGAAACACGGACCAAGGAGUCUAACAUGUGCGCGAGUCAUUGGGUCUUGAACAAGCCCAAAGGCGCAAUGAAAGUGAAGACCAGCACUGAAGCUGGUGGAGUUGUUGGUUGCUAUUGACAGCAGGACGGUGGCCAUGGAAGUCGGAAUCCGCUAAGGAGUGUGUAACAACUCACCUGCCGAAGCAACUAGCCCUGAAAAUGGAUGGCGCUCCAGCGUCGAGCCCAUACCCGGCCGCCGCGGCAGAUGCUCACGAAGCUUAUGCCGCGGUGAGUAGGAGGGUCGCAGUGGCGUGCGUUGAAGGUGCCGGGCGCAAGCCCGCCUGGAGCCGCCACUGGUGCAGAUCUUGGUGGUAGUAGCAAAUACUCAAGUGAGAACCUUGAGGACUGAGGUGGAGAAGGGUUCCAUGUGAACAGCAGUUGAACAUGGGUCAGUCGGUCCUAAGGAAUAGGAGAAAUCCGUUCCGAAGCGGGACGUUUAUUUGACGGCUAGUCCCGCCCACUGACCGAAAGGGAAUCGGGUUAAUAUUCCCGAACCCGGACAAGGAGAUCGGCCCCUCGGGGUCAAGUGCGGUAACGCAACUGAACUCGGAGAAGUCGACGGGAGUCCCGGAGAGAGUUUUCUUUUCUUUGUAAGGGUUUGGCUCCCUGGAAUCGGUUCGUCCGGAGAUAGGGAUGCUAUUCCCGUAAAGCAUCGCGCCUCCUGCGGUGUCCGGAGCGCUCCUGUCGGCCCUUGAAAAUCCGAGGGAGAGAGUGUGAUUUUCUUGCCGGACCGUACCCAUAUCCGCAGCAGGUCUCCA